UGGGGAAUAUUGGACAAUGGGGGCAACCCUGAUCCAGCAAUGCCGCGUGUGUGAAGAAGGCCUUCGGGUUGUAAAGCACUUUUAUCGGGAACGAAACAUUGCCGGUGAAUAUCCGGCAAGACUGACGGUACCCGAGGAAUAAGCACCGGCUAACUUCGUGCCAGCAGCCGCGGUAAUACGAAGGGUGCAAGCGUUACUCGGAAUUACUGGGCGUAAAGGGUGCGUAGGUGGUUUUUUAAGUCUGCUGUGAAAUCCCCGGGCUCAACCUGGGAAUGGCAGUGGAUACUGGAAAGCUGGAGUGCGGUAGAGGGUAGUGGAAUUCCCGGUGUAGCAGUGAAAUGCGUAGAGAUCGGGAGGAACACCAGUGGCGAAGGCGGCUACCUGGACCAGCACUGACACUGAGGCACGAAAGCGUGGGGAGCAAACAG
rnacentral:rRNA from 1 species